UGGGAAAUGUGUUGUCCUAGACUCUGAACAUUCACGACAUACACUCGCUCUGUGGUCUGUGGCUUAGACUUCAGCCUUUCAGGUGGGUCAUUCGGGUGACCCUGACUUGAGCAGACACAGCUCUGUGGCCCUGCCAUAAGCCAUCCCAUCCCAGUUGGAGAGAGAGGCAGCUGGACUGAAGGACAGGCCUGAGCAUUUGUCAAGCAAGCUGUGUAUCAGUCUCUGCAUGGCAAUAGAGAAUAAAGCGAUUGAGAGAGAGCAUUAAAAAUCUUUAAAACAGCAACAGAACCCAACAGAACCAGGAACCCAGGUAUCCAGGCCUCCACAGUGGAGAGGAGCCCCCAGCCAGAUUGCUUGCUGCCAAGAUGUUCUGCUGUUUGCCCCUGCCCAGAGGCCAACGCCUCAGGAGAGCUCACAGGCAGAGUGUGUGGGAAUGCGGUCGACGCUGGCUCAGGGCCCCCCCAAGAGGCCUCUGGCCCUUUGCCCAAAGGAACAGGAAGAGCUUCCCACUGGAUCUGGCUGAUGAGGGGGACACCCCAUCCACCUCCUUGAGGGAAGGGUUGGACCACCAUCCCCCUGCCCGUGAGGCCCAGUGCAGGCUCCAGGUGAGCAUGCCCACAGAGGGGUCAGCCCAACUGGGAACGAAGAGGAAGCGGGGAAGGCCUGCUGCCCAGACACCACCCAGGACACACCCCAGGGACCAGUCUCAGGCUGCCACAGAGCUCAGCACACCCGGCUCUGACCCAGAGCCCCGAGAACCCCUGCCUCUGAGGCAGCAGGAGGACCUGGAGCCCAGCACGGCAGAGCACGGAGCUCUAACACCGGCCUUCAAAGUCAACCAGGCUCCACUUUCAAAUCCUGUCCCUACAGAGGUGGUUGCUCCAGGUGCAGGAACCAGGGAUCCACUGAAGGGAGAUCGAGACCUGAGACUUCCCCUCCCAAAGACACCGGGCCUGCAGGGUACUGGCCAGCACCCUGGGCAGAUCGCAGCUCUGUGCCUGCAGGACCCCCAGCCCCAGGCACCGAUGUCCCACCCCCUCAGCGAGAACAUCCACCUCCACCUGCACCUGUACCUGCUCGGGCUUUGGCAGGAGAACCCGAGUCAGGGGAUGAGUCACCACCUCUGCAGGGAGAGCCUGCCCUGGCUCCUGCCCAAGACCCAGACUCCCCAGAUGAGUGACCCACCACUGCAGGGAGAACGGGCCCCUGCUUUGGACAGAGACCCAGAUCCCUUUCCACUUCCAUUUCUAGAAACACCAUGUCCAAGGGAAGGGUUGGCUCUGCAGCCUCUAUCCCUGUAUGCCCCCCAUGGACACCAUCAACUCGCUCCCAACCCAGGGGAGACUGGGUUCCCUUCCCCUGAGAGUCUUUUCAUUUGGUUUUUCUGGAACUUUCUUGUGUUGCUUUAUGUUUUUUUUGGCUUUCUGUAUUUCUUUCCAUUGAGUUUUUAUUAAUAAAAUUUAUUCUAAUUCUUGCAAUUUGGGAACAUUGAAGACUUUCAAAAUGCUGUGUAACCAUCACCACUUUUUAGUGUCAGACCCUUUCAAUCUUUCCACCCAUUUCCCAACAAAUCCCAUAUUCAUGUCCC
ensembl:lncRNA